UACGAAGGCCACAAGCGUUAUCCGGAUUUAUUGGGCGUAAAGAGUGCGUAGGAGGGUUAUUAAGUUCAAUGUUAAAUUUCAUCGCUUAACGGUGAAGCCGCAUUGAAUACUGAUUUCCUAGAGUGUGCGAGAGGUCAAUAGAACUCAUGGUGUAGGGGUGAAAUCCGUUGAUAUCAUGGGGAAUACCAAAGGCGAAGGCAUUUGACUGGCGCAUUACUGACUCUGAGGCACGAAAGCGUGGGGAG
rnacentral:rRNA from 1 species